CAGUCGCCACGGUAAUACGUAGGGUGCGAGCGUUAAUCGGAAUUACUGGGCGUAAAGCGUGCGCAGGCGGUUAUGUAAGACAGAUGUGAAAUGCCCGGGCUCAACCUGGGAACUGCAUUUGUGACUGCAUGGCUAGAGUGUGUCAGAGGGGGGUAGAAUUCCACGUGUGGCAGUGAAAUGCGUAGAUAUGUGGAGGAAUACCGAUGGCGAAGGCAGCCCCCUGGGAUAACACUGACGCUCAUGCACGAAAGCGUGGGGAGCAAACAGGAUUAGAUACCCGUGUAGUCCCUGUCUCUUAUAU
rnacentral:rRNA from 1 species